rnacentral:rRNA from 1 species
AAUAUUGCACAAUGGAGGGAACUCUGAUGCAGCAACGCCGCGUGAGCGAAGAAGGUUUUCGGAUCGUAAAACUCUGUCUUUGGGGAAGAACAAAUGACGGUACCCACAUAGGAAGCGCCGCCUAACUACGUGCAAGCAGCCGCGGUAAUACGUAGGGGGCGAGCUUUGUCCGGAAUUACUGGGCGUAAAGGGUACGUAGGCGGCUAUAUAAGUCAGGUGUGAAAUACCAGUGCUUAACACUGGAAUUGCAUUUGAAACUGUGUAGCUUGAGUGCAGGAGAGGAAAGUGGAAUUCCUAGUGUAGCGGUGAAAUGCGUAGAUAUAGGAAGGAACACCAGUGGCGAAGGCGACUACCUGGACUGAUACUGACACUGAGGUGCGAAAGCGUGGGGAGCAAACA